ACCGAGUCUUAACUGGGCGUUAAGUUGCAGGGUAUAGACCCGAAACCCGGUGAUCUAGCCAUGGGCAGGUUGAAGGUUGGGUAACACUAACUGGAGGACCGAACCGACUAAUGUUGAAAAAUUAGCGGAUGACUUGUGGCUGGGGGUGAAAGGCCAAUCAAACCGGGAGAUAGCUGGUUCUCCCCGAAAGCUAUUUAGGUAGCGCCUCGUGAAUUCAUCUCCGGGGGUAGAGCACUGUUUCGGCAAGGGGGUCAUCCCGACUUACCAACCCGAUGCAAACUGCGAAUACCGGAGAAUGUUAUCACGGGAGACAC
rnacentral:rRNA from 1 species